rnacentral:lncRNA from 1 species
AAAAAAAUGCUAAAAAACGUGGACCACUUGAUCUCCCUCAUUAAUUGAGGUGGCAUAUCAAGUGGAUCAGAGCGCGCGUUCCAUGGUGAACCUCAGCCAAUGUGCCACACGCGUGGUAAUUAAUUUGGAUGCUCAAGAUUAAAACAAAAUAGAAGGAUCAUGUGGUCUGAGACACGCCAACGCAUCACUGGAGUCAGAGCUCCGGUCUUCUUCUCUAGUGGACCUCACCGGAC